AGUGAACGCUGGCGGUAGGCCUAACACAUGCGAGUCGAACGGCAGCACAGUAAGAGCUUGCUCUUACGGGUGGCGAGUGGCGGACGGGUGAGGAAUACAUCGGAAUCUACUUUUUCGUGGGGGAUAACGUAGGGAAACUUACGCUAAUACCGCAUACGACCUACGGGUGAAAGCAGGGGAUCUUCGGACCUUGCGCGAUUGAAUGAGCCGAUGUCGGAUUAGCUAGUUGGCGGGGUAAAGGCCCACCAAGGCGACGAUCCGUAGCUGGUCUGAGAGGAUGAUCAGCCACACUGGAACUGAGACACGGUCCAGACUCCUACGGGAGGCAGCAGUGGGGAAUAUUGGACAAUGGGCGCAAGCCUGAUCCAGCCAUACCGCGUGGGUGGAGAAGGCCUUCGGGUUGUAAAGCCCUUUUGUUGGGAAAGAAAAGCAGCAGGUUAAUACCCCGCUGUUCUGACGGUACCCAAAGAAUAAGCACCGGCUAACUUCGU
rnacentral:rRNA from 1 species